AAGUCGUAACAAGGUUUCCGUAGGUGAACCUGCGGAAGGAUCAUUAUCAAUGAUAUCCAUCAUACACCGUGAACUUUUAAUUUUUUGGGGAUGAUCUUUUAUUAGAUCUCCCCCCAAAAAAAAUUUAAACACUAUAAUUUUUAAAGCAGAGUCAAUUAUGAAAAUAAUUUAGACAACUUUUAGCAACGGAUCUCUAGGUUCUC
rnacentral:misc_RNA from 1 species